rnacentral:lncRNA from 1 species
UCUCUCUCUCUAAACGAAAAAGAAGAAGAGAAGAAGAAGAGGAAAAAGAAGAAGAGAAGAAGAAGAAGAAGGAGAAGAAGGUCAAGAACGGGAUCCUUGUCGUCUCCUUCCUCUUCCUUGUGUUUGGUGAAGCUUGGAGGGGUAAGCUGUAAGGUACCGGACUUCUAAAAUCAUGAAGUUACGGUGUACAUUUGGUUGGAGAGCUAUUUGAAUGGUUCCGGUGAAGUUCGGGAGCAAUCGGGCGUUUCGGUGUGCGUAGGCGCGAAAACGAAACCCGAAAGGCUAUGUUGGGCUGUGGGCUAAAUUCGGCAUUAGCACGGAUGAAAAGAUGAUGAAAACAUGUUCGAAAACAUGUUUGGAGAGUUUCAGUUCGAUUUGAAAUGAAUCGGAGGUCAAACGAACGAAAACGGGCGAAAACGGAGUGAAAACGGACGAAGCUGAAAAUUGGCUAAGUCUGAGCUGGAGGU